UACGAAGGGGGCUAGCGUUGCUCGGAAUCACUGGGCGUAAAGCGCACGUAGGCGGGUUUGUAAGUCAAUUGUGAAAACCCUGGGCUCAACCCGGGACCUGCAGUCGAAACUACAAGUCUUGAAUGCUCGAGAGGAUGGUGGAAUUCCAGGAGUAGAAGUGAAAAUUCGUAGAUAUCUGGAGGAACACCGGAGGCGAAAGCGCCAUCUGGCGAGACAUUGACGCUAAGGUGCGAAAGCGUGGGGAUCAAACAGGAU
rnacentral:rRNA from 1 species